UGUCCGGAUGGCUCAGUGGUCAGAGCAUCUGCCUUAGUUAGCAGGAGACCCGGGUUCGAAUCCCGGUCCGACAC